AAGACACACCAAAAGAACUUAGCCACAAAAGAAAAGAUGAUACAUUGGGUUUCAUUAAAAUCAAGCACUUAUGUUCAGCAAGAGACACCAUUAAGAGAAGGAAAAGCCAAUCCACAGAUUCGACACACAUAUCUGACGAAGGACUAGUACCCUGGCAUAUGUAAAGAACCCCUGGAAAUCAAUAAGGAAAAACAAGCCAUGGUUUUUUAAAUCAGCUCAAGAUGUGAACUUGCACUUGACAUGGAAAUGGCCUACAUGGACGCGAAGAGACGUUCGACAUUAGCAGCCAUCAGAGACGCGCCACGGCAGGCGCUGUAAGCCACCCUUCACACCCACAGGGACAGCCAGACGGGAAGGACAGGACGGUACCACCCAGGGUUGGAACGAUGAGGCUCCACCCUCCCGCGCAGCCGGUGGGCGGGGCUCAACCCGGGUGACGGACAGGGCGGCGGUUGCCCGCAAAGUUGAGCACCGACCGUUCCUGUGACCCAGCCCUUCCUCUCCUAGGCGCGUACCCCAGAGAAGCGACGGUGUCUGUGUGCGCAGGGACUUGGCCGUGAAUGCCCACUGCGCUUCACUCGUGACAGCUCUGGACAGGAGACGACCCGAAUGUCAUCACGGGCAUCUCAGCUCUGGCACACUUGCUGACCUUCAGCCGCGGGACCAGGAUGACGUGAAGCAGAGAUGACGUGAAGCAGAGAUGACGUGAAGCCAGGGUGACUAAGCCAGGAUGACACACACACACACACACCGGCCGUCGCCUGUCCUGUCGGAAUACACUGUGCUCCUCUGCUUGUGGAGAACUUUGCAGCCCCUCCCUUGAUCUCUGUGUUCCGCCCCCCUCUCCCUCCCUAUAAGAACCUCUGCCCUCAGGGAGAGGGGGAAGUGGGCUUUGAGACUCCAGUCCCCCAACCUCUCGGAAGACGGGCUUUUGACAUGAGUCCCCCAACUUCCAGGUGGCCGGCACCUGAAAAUAAACCACCUUCCUUUACAUCAGCACCCACUGUCACGUAUCAGCUUCCAUAGCUGCAGGCGGCCGGACCUGCGUUUAGGUUAUACCUUCAUUUCCAGCACCCCAGCCUUCCCCUCUCCUGCCCCCCGAGGGGGGCCACUCAGGCGCCCCAGCUCAGUGACAAGCUGUACCACCCCCGACGCCAACACACUCGCCUGCCGGCACAGAGCCCCUGCCCAGCAGCCUUGCCCUCUCCCCCCAGCUCCGCCACCGUGGCCCAGCAGACCCCCUUCCCCAAGGCCGGAACUGCUGCAGGACACUAAGGGGGAAAUUAUACCCCAAACCAGCCAGGCCCAGAAGGGCCUGGGCCCUGCCGGGGCCCCUUCCCCUCACCCGCUCUGGCUGUUUGGUCUGAAACAGUCACAGCACCCGGAG